rnacentral:rRNA from 1 species
GAUGAACGCUGGCGGCGUGCCUAAUACAUGCAAGUCGAGCGAACAGACGAGGAGCUUGCUCCUCUGACGUUAGCGGCGGACGGGUGAGUAACACGUGGAUAACCUACCUAUAAGACUGGGAUAACUUCGGGAAACCGGAGCUAAUACCGGAUAAUAUAUUGAACCGCAUAGUUCAAUAGUGAAAGACGGUUUUGCUGUCACUUAUAGAUGGAUCCGCGCCGCAUUAGCUAGUUGGUAAGGUAACGGCUUACCAAGGCAACGAUGCGUAGCCGACCUGAGAGGGUGAUCGGCCACACUGGAACUGAGACACGGUCCAGACUCCUACGGGAGGCAGCAGUAGGGAAUCUUCCGCAAUGGGCGAAAGCCUGACGGAGCAACGCCGCGUGAGUGAUGAAGGUCUUCGGAUCGUAAAACUCUGUUAUUAGGGAAGAACAAAUGUGUAAGUAACUAUGCACGUCUUGACGGUACCUAAUCAGAAAGCCACGGCUGACUACGUG